rnacentral:rRNA from 1 species
UUUUAAAUGGCCGCAGUAUUUUGACUGUGCAAAGGUAGCAUAAUCAUUAGUUUUUUAAUUAAAAGCUUGUAUGAAAGGCUGGACGAGGUAAAAUCUGUCUCUAUUUAAAUUAUUAUAGAAUUUAACUUUUAAGUUAAAAGGCUUAAAUAUUAUUAAAAGACGAGAAGACCCUAUAGAUCUUUAUAGUUUAUUAAAUUAAAUUAAUUUAGAAAUAUUAAUGUUUUAUUUAAUUAAAUUAUUUUAUUGGGGUAAUAAAAAGAUUGAAUUAAUUCUUUUUUAUAAUAAACAUUAAUUUAUGAAUAUUAAUGAUCCAGUUUUACUGAUUAUAAGAUUAAGUUACCUUAGGGAUAACAGCGUAAUUUUUUUAGAGAGUUCAUAUCGAUAAAAAAGUUUGCGACCUCGAUGUUGGAUUAAAGAUUAUUUUAGGUGUAGAAGCUUAAUAAUUUUGGUCUGUUCGACCAUUAAAUCUUUACAUGAUCUGAGUUCAGACCGGCGUAAGCCAGGUCGGUUUCUAUCUUUAAUAAAAUAAAAUAUUUUAGUACGAAAGGACCAAAUAUUUGAUAUAUUUAUAUUUAAUUUAUUGAAUAUUA